rnacentral:tRNA from 1 species
GGAGAUGUAGCUCAGUGGUAGAGCACCUGUUUGCUUUCAGAAAGAGGGUCCAAGAUUCAAUCCCUGGCAUCUCCA